UUAAUUUAUAUUUAUAGGUUAUGUUUCAACCCUGAAUAUAGCCUCAAAAUUAAAAUAAUAACUUUAGGUUGGUAGCCCUUUAGAUCAGCUGUCAUAUCAUCCCUUUAGUUUAUUUCUAUCUUGUCAUUGUCAAAUUUGUGUUGGUUUUUAUAUUUUUCAUCAUUUCGUCGCUUUAUUUUAUUUAAACACUGCUUAUUUUAAUCGGAGUUACUUAUUUUGAAGUAUUUCGAAGAAUCUUUAGAAGAAAAUUAAUUGAAGAAUUAAGAUGAAGAAAAGAACGUUUAAUUUUAUGGAAAACAACAUUAAAACAAGGUUUGUACUCAAAUAAACUAUAUAAUCAAAGAUUUAGUGAAGAAUUAGGUUAUAUCAGGUCGAUAAUGAAGAUAAUUUAGAAUGGGUUUAACGAUUAAGACAAAAAUUGAUCGGAGUUGAAACGAAAUUGAGGUUAUUUCUCUAAUUUUAGCACUUAAAAUGUUAAAUGAUAAUCUCGUUUAAUUAAUAUAGUGAUGGAAAGGA